AUUGAACGCUGGCGGCAAGCCUAACCCAUGCAAGUCGAACGAGUGGCGGACGGGUGAGUAAUGUCUGGGACACUGCCUGAUGGAGGGGGAUAACUACUGGAAACGGUAGCUAAUACCGCAUACCAUCGGAUGUGCCCAGAUGGGAUUAGCUAGUAGGUGGGGUAAAGGCUCACCUAGGAGACGAUCCCUAGCUGGUCUUAGAGGAGGACCAGCCACACUGGAACUGAGACACGGUCCAGACUCCUACGGGAGGCAGCAGUGGGGAAUAUUGCACAAUGGGCGCAAGCCUGAUGCAGCCAUGCCGCGUGUAUGAAGAAGGCCGUCGGGUUGUAAAGUACUUUCAGCGGGGAGGCGUUACCCGCAGAAGAAGCACCGGCUAACUCCGUGCCAGCAGCCGCGGUAAUUC
rnacentral:rRNA from 1 species